rnacentral:rRNA from 1 species
CCUACGGGAGGCUGCAGUAGGGAAUCUUCGGCAAUGGACGAAAGUCUGACCGAGCAACGCCGCGUGAGUGAAGAAGGUUUUCGGAUCGUAAAACUCUGUUGUUAGAGAAGAACAAGGGUGAGAGUAACUGUUCACCCCUUGACGGUAUCUAACCAGAAAGCCACGGCUAACUACGUGCCAGCAGCCGCGGUAAUACGUAGGUGGCAAGCGUUGUCCGGAUUUAUUGGGCGUAAAGCGAGCGCAGGCGGUUUCUUAAGUCUGAUGUGAAAGCCCCCGGCUCAACCGGGGAGGGUCAUUGGAAACUGGGAGACUUGAGUGCAGAAGAGGAGAGUGGAAUUCCAUGUGUAGCGGUGAAAUGCGUAGAUAUAUGGAGGAACACCAGUGGCGAAGGCGGCUCUCUGGUCUGUAACUGACGCUGAGGCUCGAAAGCGUGGGGAGCAAACAGGAUUAGAUACCCUAGUAGUC